rnacentral:rRNA from 1 species
CAAUAGCGUAUAUUAAAGCUGUUGCGGUUAAAAAGCUCGUAGUUGGAUUUCUGUCAAGUACAACUGGUCCGCCCUCCGGGUGAGCACAUAGUUUGGUCUUGGCAUCUUGCUGGAAAUUGUUGCUGCACUUGGCUGUGUGGCGCAGUGUCCAGCACUUUCACUUUGAGGAAAUUGGAGUGUUUCAAGCAGGCAAUGCCUUUGAACACAGUAGCAUGGAAUAAUUAGUUUGGGCUUUUGCUCCAAUUUGUCGGUUUCUGGAGCUGAGGUGAGAAUUAAUGGGGAUUGUUGGGGGCAUCCGAAUUUAGCCGUCAGAGGUGAAAUUCUUGGAUCGGCUAAAGACGGACAACUGCGAAGGCGUUUGCCCAGGAUGUUUUCAUUGA